UAAAAUGUGAACAGAUAAUAGAUGUACCUUAAAAUUUUCAGAACUUUACUCAAGACAACUGCACACAAGGAAUUAUGGAAAAAAGUCAAUGGGACCUGAAAACAUCCGGUUCCAAAGGAGGAGGUGCAAAAGACUUGAUGACUUUGUAGCAGUUUACCAACAUAUGCAUGAUGGAAUUUGGGACGUCUAAAAAAGACAUGGCCCAGGAAUGCAGGGCUUCGGCACUGAAAGUACUUGAUGCAUCAGUGUUUAAUGCACAGAACAACUGCUCCAUGUGUGCAGCAUCUAAACCACCAAGUCCGGGGCCUUCCAUGACUGACUGGUGUGACAGCUGUACACGGUGGUUCUAUGCAGCGUGCGUGCAGAUGAACAAAGUACAAUUUGAGCAAGCAAAAAACACAGCCUGGGAUUUUUAUUUUUUUUUUUGAGCAUAAGUUCCAACUUGUUCAACUAUAAUACAAAAUGAAAAUCAUUGAACCAUGAACAAUCACAGACCUCAGUGAAAUUAACUUAACCCUUUGAUCUGUUUCAACAAACUGUAGAUAUCGAUAUUGUAGACUGCCAAUUUGUAAGAUGUUUAAUUUUUUUCUUAAUUUCUGUAAUUUUGACUUUGUCAGUUCCUCCCAAACUCUACAACCCUGUGAGAAUGAACAUGGACAGGGAUUGAUGUUCAUCCCAAAGAAUCCUUUAUUAAAAUUCCUUCAGAGUUGACAUGAAAUUUUCAAUGACAGUACAAAAUACAAGAAAUGACCAAUGUUAUAAUGUAUUUUGACAGACUUUGCCUUUAAUUUUCUGUAAAACUCUACAGUAAAACACUGUGAAAAUUGCUGUGGACAGAGAUGUUCAUCCCAAAGAAGAAUCCUUUGAAAAUUUCAUGUCAACUCUGAAGUCAUUUUAAUAAUGGCAGUACAAAAUGCAAGAAAUGACCAAUGUUACAGAUUUUGCCUUUAAUUUCUGUAAAACUCCACAUUAAAAUAUCUUCGAGUACAACUGAAGCGUAUUUUUAUGAUGUGCAACAUAAAUG